rnacentral:rRNA from 1 species
AUUGAACGCUGGCGGCAUGCUUUACACAUGCAAGUCGAACGGUAACAGGUUAAGCUGACGAGUGGCGAACGGGUGAGUAAUGCAUCGGAACGUGCCCGAUCGUGGGGGAUAACGCAGCGAAAGCUGCGCUAAUACCGCAUACGAUCUGAGGAUGAAAGCGGGGGACCGUAAGGCCUCGCGCGAUCGGAGCGGCCGAUGUCAGAUUAGGUAGUUGGUGGGGUAAAGGCUCACCAAGCCGACGAUCUGUAGCUGGUCUGAGAGGACGACCAGCCCCACUGGGACUGAGACACGGCCCAGACUCCUACGGGAGGCAGCAGUGGGGAAUUUUGGACAAUGGGCGUAAGCCUGAUCCAGCAAUGCCGCGUGCAGGAAGAAGGCCUUCGGGUUGUAAACUGCUUUUGUACGGAGCGAAAAGGCUCUCUCUAAUACAGGGGGCUCAUGACGGUACCGUAAGAAUAAGCACCGGCUAACUCCGUGCCAGCAGCCGCCGCGG